UAUUGGCAGUCGGAUGCUCGCGGGAUGCGCGCUCAGGAUGAGCGGAUACGAAAGGAUUGCGUACAGGGAUGAUUUUUCUUUCCAGGAUGGAAGGCUAAAUAGCAGGGAAUGCGCUGAUAGCAGAAGGAAAAACCGGGAUGUUGAGUGUGCGCAUGGAGUGCGUAGCAGGAAUAUCCUUCGUAUGAAGGUAUGAAAUAGGCGACAGGUUUAACCUGUCGCCUUUUUUAUUU
rnacentral:sRNA from 16 species